rnacentral:misc_RNA from 1 species
UGCAGAAUUCGCGGACAAACGAAACAACUUGUCAUUUAUUCCUGCAACCUCUCAAUGUGAAAUUUGAGUUCAAACUAUAUGAGUUACAAUAUCACCUUCUACCUCAGGUGAUAGAUCUUUCUUUGGCUGUCUGUCAAGACUUUGUGCCUGAAACUUUUCCUUAGCCCACGCGAUUGCUUCAUCAAUUGAAAUUGCUUCGCUAGCUGCUUCUCUAUGGUCAGAAUUGAUCUCAAUGACAUAAGAACUCAUAACUUCAUCUGCCGCCUGUUGCAUUUCUUCAUCUUCCGCCUGCUUGCCAGCACUUGCCUCCUGUUCUUGACAAAGCGAAGAGACAAGAGAUGAAGGGGAGUUGACCU